rnacentral:rRNA from 1 species
UACGUAGGGUGCGAGCGUUGUCCGGAAUUACUGGGCGUAAAGGGCUCGUAGGUGGCCAACUAAGUCAGACGUGAAAUCCCUCAGCUUAACUGGGGAACUGCGUCUGAUACUGGAUGGCUUGAGAUUGGGAGAGGGAUGCGGAAUUCCAGGUGUAGCGGUGAAAUGCGUAGAUAUCUGGAGGAACACCGGUGGCGAAGGCGGCAUCCUGGACCAACACUGACACUGAGGAGCGAAAGCCAGGGGAGCAAACGGG